UGGCUGGGGAAUUCUGGGAGUUGAAAUCCACAAAUCUGAGAUUGAGAAACACCAGUUUAAGUUCAAACCAUACCAAGGAAGAGUGUGGGAAUUGGGCUUCAAACACCAAAGGACCAUCUGGAGAAGGAGCCACAGAACCAGAUGAUUAAAUGAUCCAUGUGAAAAAAAAAUCUUCUUUGCCUUCUUUGAUAAAAAUGAGGAAACCUGGGAGCGGAAAAAGGCCUUAUCUUACAACUUCAAUUGAGACCGGAACUCCCGUUACUAAGCAAUGCAGUAAUUAAUCAACUCAUGCUCUGUUUUACAACAUUUGGUCACGGCUCUUUAAACAAAUCCAGCUUUCUCCAUUGACCCAAAGGUGACAAUUGGCAACUGGACAUUCUUGCUUUUUUUUUCUUUGAAGACA